GUAGAGUGAGGCGGCGGAGGCUGCGGUGGCGGCGCUGGUGGCGGAUGUGUUGAGGGAGAGUGCCUCCAACUUUCCUCCUGUCCUGAGAGGGUUUUGGCUCGGAGGGUCGGGAUGUCAGAGAAAAAGCAGCCGGUAGACUUGGGUCUCCUGGAGGAGGACGACGAGUUCGAGGAGUUCCCUGCGGAAGAUUGGACUGGUUUAGAUGAAGAUGAAGAUGCACAUGUCUGGGAGGAUAAUUGGGAUGAUGACAAUGUAGAAGAUGACUUCUCCAAUCAGUUACGAGCUGAACUAGAGAAACAUGGCUACAAGAUGGAGACCUCAUAGUAUCCAGAAGAAGUAUUGAAGCAACCUAAAGUUGAACUGUUACUAAAUUCUAGGACACACAAUCCAGGAUGGAACAUUUGAAAAAUGUUUAUUUCAUUACUUGCUUGGCUUUCUUUUUGCUUUCGUAAU